rnacentral:rRNA from 1 species
UACGUAGGGGGCAAGCGUUGUCCGGAAUCAUUGGGCGUAAAGAGCGUGUAGGCGGCCAGAAAAGUCCGCUGUGAAAACUCGAGGCUCAACCUCGAGCUGUCGGUGGAAACUGUCUGGCUAGAGUCCGGAAGAGGAGAGUGGAAUUCCUGGUGUAGCGGUGAAAUGCGCAGAUAUCAGGAAGAACACCUAUGGCGAAGGCAGCUCUCUGGGACGGUACUGACGCUGAGACGCGAAAGCGUGGGGAGCGAACAGA